rnacentral:rRNA from 1 species
GCAAGUCGAGCGGAAGUUGGAGAGCUUGCUCUUCAACUUUAGCGGCGGACGGGUGAGUAACACGUGGGCAACCUGCCCUGCAGAUCGGGAUAACUCCGGGAAACCGGUGCUAAUACCGAAUAGUUUUCGCCACCUCCUGGUGGCGUACGGAAAGACGGUUUCGGCUGUCACUGCAGGAUGGGCCCGCGGCGCAUUAGCUAGUUGGUGGGGUAACGGCCCACCAAGGCGACGAUGCGUAGCCGACCUGAGAGGGUGAUCGGCCACACUGGGACUGAGACACGGCCCAGACUCCUACGGGAGGCAGCAGUAGGGAAUCUUCCGCAAUGGACGAAAGUCUGACGGAGCAACGCCGCGUGAGUGACGAAGGUUUUCGGAUCGUAAAACUCUGUUGUGAGGGAAGAACAAGUACCACUUAACUACUGGUACCUUGACGGUACCUCACCAGAAAGCCACGGCUAACUACGUGCCAGCAGCCGCGGUAAUACGUAGGUGGCAAGCGUUGUCCGGAAUUAUUGGGCGUAAAGCGCGCGCAGGCGGUCCCUUAAGUCUGAUGUGAAAGCCCACGGCUCAACCGUGGAGGGUCAUUGGAAACUGGGGGACUUGAGUGCAGAAGAGGAAAGUGGAAUUCCACGUGUAGCGGUGAAAUGCGUAGAGAUGUGGAGGAACACCAGUGGCGAAGGCGACUUUCUGGUCUGUAACUGACGCUGAGGCGCG